GUUGCCCGAGGGCACAGAUGCCAGCUGGAACCCCUAGGGGUUUGGGUGGACACUGCCCACCCUGGGCUUCUUCUGAAGGACCUCUCCUUCCCCAAGGGCCUGGCUGGCAUCAGAGAUCGAAAUUCCUGGCCUGGAUAACUGUGUGAAAAAGCCUCUGGAGACUGAGCAGGAAUCCUGGGGUCUCCGAAGCAGAAACUGGGAACUGUUGUGUUGCUGCUGAAGGUUCCAACCAAACCCAGGAGACCCACUUCUUCAUUAACCCCUGGUGCAGGGAGGUGGGGGACAGCUGAGAAUGGAGUGGGAAGAGUGAAAAGACUAGGAAUCAAGUCAUCUUGCAAGCCCUCCACCCCUGGCAGCCUGCAUGGAGCUGUGUCCAGAGUAUUUCUAGAGAUGAUCUGGCCAUAGCGACUGGGAUCUUAUCCUGGACCUUAGAAUUUACCAGCCUCAGGACUCAGAUCUGGGCCACAGAAGACUGCUAUGGACCCCCCACCUCAGGGGUUGUACCCUGAGACCAGGAUCAGGAGUCAGCCAGGCC